rfam:Rattus norvegicus chromosome 6, whole genome shotgun sequence.
GGGGAUUUGGCUCAGUGGUAGAGCGCUUGCCUAGGAAGCGCAAGGUCCUGGGUUCAAUCCCCAGCCCUG